UACGGAGGGAGCUAGCGUUGUUCGGAAUUACUGGGCGUAAAGCGCACGAAGGCGGCUUUGUAAGUUAGAGGUGAAAGCCCGGGGCUCAACUCCGGAACUGCCUUUAAGACUGCAUCGCUUGAAUCCAGGAGAGGUGAGUGGAAUUCCGAGUGUAGAGGUGAAAUUCGUAGAUAUUCGGAAGAACACCAGUGGCGAAGGCGGCUCACUGGACUGGUAUUGACGCUGAGGUGCGAAAGCGUGGGGAGCAAACAGG
rnacentral:rRNA from 1 species